UACGGGGGGAGCAAGCGUUGUUCGGAUUUACUGGGCGUAAAGGGCGUGCAGGCGGUCUGUUAAGUCUAGGGUGAAAGCUCCCGGCUCAACUGGGAGAGGUCCUUGGAUACUGGCGGACUUGAGGGAGGUAGAGGAAAGUGGAAUUCCCGGUGUAGUGGUGAUAUGCGUAGAUAUCGGGAGGAACACCAGUGGCGAAGGCGGCUUUCUGGGCCUUACCUGACGCUGAGACGCGAAAGCGUGGGGAGCGAACCGG
rnacentral:rRNA from 1 species